UACGUAGGGUGCGAGCGUUGCCCGGAUUUAUUGGGCGUAAAGGGCGCGUAGGCGGCCACGCACGUCCGUUGUGAAAUCGCCCGGCUCAACUGGGCGGGGUCAGCGGAUACGGUGUGGCUCGAGCAAGCUAGGGGGCAAUGGAAUUCCCGGUGUAGUGGUGGAAUGCGUAGAUAUCGGGAGGAACACCUGUGGCGAAAGCGGCUCACUGGACCACAACUGACGCUGAGGCGCGAAAGCUAGGGGAGCAAACAGG
rnacentral:rRNA from 1 species